AUUGAACGCUGGCGGCAGGCUUAACACAUGCAAGUCGAGCGGGGGAGGUCGCUUCGGUAACUGACCUUGCGGCGGACGGGUGUGUAAUGCUUAGGAAUCUGCCUACCAGUGGGGGACAACAUUCCGAAAGGGAUGCUAAUACCGCAUACGCCCUACGGGGGCAAGAAGGGGAUCUUCGGAACUCGCGCUAAUAGAUUCGCCUAAGUCGGAUUAGCUAGUUGGUGGGGUAAAGGCCUACCAAGGCGACGAUGUGUAGCGGGUCUGAGAGGAUGAUCGGCCACACUGGGACUGAGACACGGCCCAGACUCCUACGGGAGGCAGCAGUAGGGAAUAUUGGACAAUGGGCGAAAGCCUGACCCAGCCAUGCCGCGUGUGUGAAGAAGGCCUUUUGGUUGUAAAGCACUUUAAGCGAGGAGGAGGCUCUUAAGGUUAAUACCCUUGAUGAGUGGACGUUACUCGCAGAAAAAGCACCGGCUAACUCUGUGCCAGCAGCCGCCGUAACAC
rnacentral:rRNA from 1 species